rnacentral:rRNA from 1 species
UACGAAGGGGGCUAGCGUUGUUCGGAAUUACUGGGUGUAAAGAGCGCGUAGGCGGUUUUUUAAGUUAGACGUGAAAGCCCUGGGCUUAACCUGGGAAAUGCGUUUAAAACUACAAAACUAGAGUAUGGGAGAGGAUAGUGGAAUUCCGAGUGUAGAGGUGAAAUUCGUAGAUAUUAGGAAGAACACCGGUGGCGAAGGCGGCCCACUGGUCCGGUACUGACGCUGAGGUGCGAAAGCGUGGGGAGCAAACAGG